rnacentral:rRNA from 1 species
CCUACGGGAGGCAGCAGUGAGGAAUAUUGGUCAAUGGGCGCGAGCCUGAACCAGCCAAGUCGCGUGAGGGAAGACGGUCCUAUGGAUUGUAAACCUCUUUUGUCGGGGAGCACAAGACGCCACGCGUGGCGUUCCGAGAGUACCCGAAGAAAAAGCAUCGGCUAACUCGGUGCCAGCAGCCGCGGUAAUACGGAGGAUGCGAGUGUUAACCGGAUUUAGUGGGGUUAACGGGUGCGCAGGGUGAAGUUCAAGUCAGCGGUAAACUGGAUUGGCUCAACCCCGUCGAGCCGUUGAAACGGGUUGUCUAGAGUGAGCGAGAGGGAGGCGGAAUGCGAGGUGGAGCGGUGAAAUGCAUAGAUAUCAGGCAGAACCCC